UCAGAGUAAGAGAGUCAAGGAUGGGAAGA
rnacentral:piRNA from 1 species